GUGGUGGUGGUGGUGGUGGUGGUGGUGGUGGAGGAGGAGGAGAAGAAGAAGAAGAAGAAGAAGAAGAAGAAGAAGGAAGGUAAAGGACGUCCUUUCGGGAUAAGGAAUCCUGGUUAUACAAGCCGUGUCUUGCUUCUUCUAUCGGCUGGUAGACUGGUCGUAGCAGGUCGGUUGGAGAAGGACGAGGUCGGGGUAUAGGGAAAGAGAAGGCACAUAGAUAUACCACUGUGUGCGUUUAAACUCUUGAAAGAGAAGAGAGAGAGAGAGAGAGAGAGGGAAAGAAAAAGAGAAACGAGAGAAACGAGAAAGCACGAUAUGCGGGAUAUGCCGGAGGAGAAGAGAAAAGAAGAGAAAAGAAAAAGAGAAAGGGUGGGGGGUGAGAGCGAGAGAGAGCAACACCGGUUUUGCUUGCUUCAACUUGUCCGUAGUUGGCAAGACUGCAGAUAGAGGUCGGUACCUUCGAAAUAGCUUUCUUCUUUGUCGUCGUCGUCGUCGUCGUCGUCGUUGUUGCUCGUCGGUCUCGUCGUAUAAAUAUCUCAACGUAUUAUACCUCGAAGGAAAAUCCAUUUGGAAUACAUAGAGAGGUUUGUUUCUUGGGAUACAGCAUGGAAUGCAUACGCGCCGAUCCUUCCAAAGUGAUGAUUCACGCGGUCUCUCUCGUCAGAACGGUAGAAAGGGAGAAUGGGGAAACUACAAGAGAGUGGGCCGUUUAAAUCACGUUGUCCGUAACUAAACUGGAAUUCUCUCGCAGGUUUUACGAACUCGUAGUCUAUUACAUGUAUACGUUUUGCAAGAUAGGAAACAACUAAAAGGGAUGGGCGAGGAUGGGGAAUAUUGAAAAUUUUUCACGACAUAAAGAAGAACAUUGAACACCUGAUGAGAAAAAAAAAAAGAAGUGUCCUUAGAAGGUCGAUGCGUAUUUUAGAUGAACUCGGAUCUUUUCGCAGGUAGUUUUUAUUGUAAGCCGUUCACAGGUAAACGAAUUUAUCGCAGCAGGUAGUUCUUCCUCUCCUGUUGCAGGUAAAAUGAUCUAAGGUAACACGAGAAGCUUUGCUUGGAGAUUCUCCUUUUUCAAUAUGGCUUCUUUUAGACCUAUGCGAUUUUUUUGUUUUUUUUAUCUUUCAUCUACCAUGCACAAAAAGUCUAGUUGAGUAAGCAUAGAUAAUUAGAAUGACAAUUUUUAUUAUUAUUGUUUUUAUUAAAUGUCUCUUUGUUUGAAAUAUCAAUGUGUAAAAAACUUCUCUAUUUUCUUAUCUGAGAGUAAUAUGGAUAAUAUAAAAAUCCUAAAUUGUA